rnacentral:lncRNA from 1 species
AGAAACAUUUUGUGAUUCUUAAGACCAUUCCUGGAAAAUUUACACCCUGUAUUAUUCAGUUUGCUUUUCAUCUAAUAUGUGGAAUUAAAACAUAAUCGAUUAAGCUCAGACAAGAUUCUGAUUGUCACAGCUGAAUUCAUUUAGUACAUGCCUAGACUCACGCUGGCUCACUGCUCAGAGAACAGAUGCACAUCCAUUAUUAAUCGUUGACUAUUGCAGUCAUCAUCUCAUCAUUGGGGUAGAAGAAAAUGAAGGGACUCAAAUCCAAUCACCGAGCAAGUCUGGUGACAUGCAAACAGAUCAGAGAAAACACACUUUAGGAAAGUUCAACUCAUCUUCAUCACAGGGAAAAGUACAUGUUGCUGUGACUAGAGAGAAGUGCAAUGUUCCUCGUGUGCAAAGCCAUCACAUGCAGGAGUUCCAUGGUA